GCGUACUCUUGUUUCCUCGGUGGCGCAAGCUGCCGAUUGGACAAACCAAAACCUUUUUUGUAAUUGCAAUCAGCGUCUGAAAAUAAUCUAAUUAUUUACAACUUUCAACAACGGAUCUCUUGGUUCUGGCAUCGAUGAAGAACGCAGCGAAAUGCGAUAAGUAGUGUGAAUUGCAGAAUUCAGUGAAUCAUCGAAUCUUUGAACGCACAUUGCGCCCCUUGGUAUUCCAUGGGGCAUGCCUGUUCGAGCGUCAUUUGUACCCUCAAGCUUUGCUUGGUGUUGGGCGUCUUGUCGUAUUACGACUCGCCUUAAAUUCAUUGGCAGCCGGCACUUUGGCCUAGGAGCGCAGCACAUUUUGCGAUCGUAGCCCGUUGCACUGGCGUCCAUCAAGAACAUUUACCACGUUUGACCUCGGAUCAGGUAGGGAUACCCGCUGAACUUAAGCAUAUCAAUAAGCGGAGGAAAAGAAACCAACAGGGAUUGCCCUAGUAACGGCGAGUGAAGCGGCAACAGCUCAAAUUUGAAAUCUGGCUCUUUCAGAGUCCGAGUUGUAAUUUGCAGAGGGUGCUUUGGUGGUAGUUGCGGUCUAAGUUCUUUGGAACAGGACGUCACAGAGGGUGAGAAUCCCGUAUGUGGUCGCUACUUAUCACCGUGUAAAGCCCCUUCGACGAGUCGAGUUGUUUGGGAAUGCAGCUCUAAAUGGGAGGUAAAUUUCUUCUAAAGCUAAAUACUGGCCAGAGACCGAUAGCGCACAAGUAGAGUGAUCGAAAGAUGAAAAGCACUUUGGAAAGAGAGUCAAAUAGCACGUGAAAUUGUUGAAAGGGAAGCGCUUGCAGCCAGACUUGCCUGUAGUUGCUUACCUAGACUUUUGUCUGGGGUACUCUUCUGCAGGCAGGCCAGCAUCAGUUUGGGCGGUUGGAUAAAGGUCUCUGUCACGU
rnacentral:rRNA from 1 species